GGGGUUGUGGCUCAGUGGUAGAGUGCUUGCCUAGCAUGCGUGAGGCACUGGGUUCAAUCCUCAGCACCCCG
rnacentral:tRNA from 1 species